GACAGAGGGGGCAAGCGUUGCUCGGAAUUACUGGGCGUAAAGGGCGCGUAGGCGGGAUGGCAAGUCGGUCGUGAAAUCCCUCGGCUCAACCUGAGGACGUCGAUCGAUACUGCCUGUUCUUGAGGAUUGCAGAGGAGACUGGAAUUCCCGGUGUAGCGGUGAAAUGUGUAGAGAUCGGGAGGAACACCGGUGGCGAAGGCGGGUCUCUGGGCAAUUCCUGACGCUGAGGCGCGAAAGCGUAGGGGUAGCGAAACGGGAUUAGAACCU
rnacentral:rRNA from 1 species